ensembl:lncRNA
GUUUGUUUCAGCAGUACCCUAUCUCCGUAUACCAAUCUGCUCCAGCUCCAUUCUGCCGAGCACAUACUCCCCAGUGGAGAGGCUCAGAUGUCCAGCCUUCGCUCAUUCUACAAGCAGUCAGCAAUAGUACUCGUGUGUAAACUCUCUGUGCCUGCAUUCCAAGAGAAGUUCUCAGAAGAACCACCCAAGUAUGGGACAUUCCUCAGCCCAGAGCCGUAAGUCUGAGUGUCUCUUCCAUUCUCUGUACGUUGACAUAGUCACAAAAUUCUCCCCAAGUACAAGCUGAGGGAAUGUGCAGGGGAAGUGAAGUCUCACACAUUUCUGUUGAGGGUUAGUAUUUAGUUGUAACCUAUAGCUUUGGGUUUUUUGUUGCUGUUUGGGUUUUUUGUUUUUUGUUUUUGUUUGUUGGGGUUUUUGUUGUUUUUUGUUUUGUUUUGUUUUGUUUUGAGACAGGGCUUCUCUGUGAAACAGCCAUGACUGUACUGUUCUGGAACUCACUCUGUGGACCAGGCUGGCCUCAAAGUCACAGAGAUCUGCCUCCCCAGUGCUGGAAUUAAAGACAUGCACCACCAUCACCCAGCCUAACCUAUAGUUUUAAUGCAUAUCUUGUUCACAAGCCUAGAUUCCAAAAAAGGUUUGUUUUUUAUUUUUGUUUUUGUUAUUAAUUGCGAUUGAUCUAACCCAUUUCCAGGGAUUGUGACUGAGAUAUUGUGAAAGAAGCAAUAGAAACUUGCAAGUCCUUAAAGAAUUCUUAAGUAUUAUUUACUUUAAGUAUAUAUGUGUGUGCCCACAGUGGCUAUAAGAGGACAUUGGUUCCCCAGGGAAACUGGAGUCACAAGCAGUUAGAAAUCACCUGACAUGGAUGCUGGGAACCAAACCCAGGUCCUCUGCAAGAGCAGCAAGAACUCUUAACUGCAGAGCCAUCUCUCCAGCCCCCCAAAGAGUUCUUUACCAAUAUUUUGAACAAAUCAUCUCUUGAAAUAUUGUUUGAAUCUGUAUGUAAUUCUAAUCACCGACCCCUUAAACAUUAUUAUAUAUGUAAUUGAAUGCAUUGUCUACUUUAACUAUCAGUUACAAUGCUUAGAUUACCACAAUCAAGAAGAAAAUUAAAAUUUGCUGGCAAGGGGUAGGAAUUAGUGCUCCUCCAGCGCCCUAGCACCUGCCAGCAAUCUUAUGAGACCUUGGUGCUGUUAAUUAUUAAUGCUAGCAUGCUUGAUUGAACAUUACUGUGAAGAAAAUCAACUCACACACUUCUCAUGAAUUAACCAGAGUACGACAUUAAUUAUACACAUCAUUCUUGUAAGAACUGCUCUAGUAAGGAUCUCUGGCCGAACUCUGUAUCCAAAAGGUACAGACUUGAUUUUUCUGAAGAUUGUCUUUCUAAUUGUAUUUAAUUAUAUUGAUAUGUGUGUCCGAUUGUGUAUGUACCAACCAUGUGUGUACGGGUGCCCACAGAGGCCAGAAGAGGGAGUCAGAUCCCCCGGGGCUUGAAUUACAUGCAGGUAUGAGCCAUCUGAAAUGUGUGCUGGGAACUGACCAAAGAUACUCCGCAAGAGCAGCAAGUGCUCUUAACCACUUGAGCCAUCUCUCCAGUCUUUAGAUUUUUUUUCUUUAUUUAACAGAAUCUCUCUGGGUAUCCCAGAUCAGCCUACUGCUUGCAGUCCUUCGGCCUCAGCCUCCUGGGAACUGGAAUUACAGCUCCCUACCUCUCACAGCAGGAAGGACAAGAAAAAAUAGAAAUGCCAGCUAUAGUCAACACUACUGGUUGAAAGCACAUAGAAGAGCAGUCUCAAUUGGAUGUCAGGUGGAGGAUCAUGAUAUGAAAAUGAAAUGCUAACCAAAAAAACGAAAGUAGCCCAGGAGGUGGUGCACACCCGUAAUCCCAGAACUUGGGAGACAGAAGCAGGAAGAUCAAGAGUUAAAGGCAUUCGAGUUAAAGGCCAGUCCAGGGUAUGUGAGAUUCUGCCUCAAGAAAAGCUCCCUAAGAAGUGGAGGUAUGCUUAGAGCUUAGAAGAAAAACCUCAUGGACGAGCCAUGGUUCCCAGUCUUCAUUCUUCAAAGCCCGUUCGUUGGUCAGUGACUGUCGUUGCCACUUCAAGCACACUGUGUUCCCGGUAAAGUUUUUCUGGUCUCUUCUCGAUUUGGAUUUUGCCCCUGGCACAGCACAGUGCAGUGUCUUAAGCAUCUGGGAUGUCAGAUGCCAAGGACCAAAGGAGAAGACCGCAGCUUCGUGGUUCUGUUGGUGGAUCUCAGACUUUCAUGUGCCUGGCAACUGCUUGGGAAGGGGCACAUUGAGAAAAUAUCGUCUGCACACAGAGAGCCGGACAAGUGUGAAGUUUGGAAAGGAGCCACCAUCCCCUCCCAACCCAAUGUGAGUGUGUGGGCCAUGUAAGAUCAGACUUCGAGGCUGUCUUAAAAUGUGCUUCCUCAAAAAUCACUUCAGAAUUUAUGUUCACAGACUUUCCAGGCCUCCACCUCACGGGUGUAUCCCAAAGCCUUCCAAACAGUAAUUCUGAUUGGAUAUGCACAGUCCUCAUCCUCCACUUCUUGAUCCCCUUAUUUAGGUUUCAAAGUCCUCUAGAGGCCCCUUAAAGGGUUGGCUGCUACUGCUACUGGGAGUUUUUGAAGCUUUUUGGAAGUGGGACCUAGCAGAAAGGAGACAGGUCAUUAGAGGCACGAGUUUGAUAGGGACAUUGGGAUCCUCAGCCCCUCCCUCGAGCCUUACUACUUGGCUGCCACCAUGAAGUUUUGCUUCCGUGGACCCAAAGUAAUGACUCCAACUGAUCAUGAUCUGAAGCCUCUGGGACUGUG